CGCCGCCGAACCGUGCAAUGAAACCAAGGCUGCCGCUUCCUGCCCUAGGCGCCGGCGCCCUCCAGCUCGAACAGCGCCGCCGGCCUCCGAUGGGCGAUAGGCCCUUUCGCCGCGCCGCUGCCCCUUUCGUGGCGCCGAUGGGCUGGCGGCGCCGGCGGCGAUUCCUGGCGUCCGCAGCGAUUCCUGGCGUCCGCGGCGAUUCCCAUCGCCGUGCCGGCCCCCCAUCGUUGAGCCGGUUCCCCAUCGUCGAGCAGGGGCAAUUCCUGGCGCCCGCAGCGUCAUCGACUGCAGGUAGGUCUGCAGGCAGCAGGAUUUAUUUGUCAGAAACGAUUUCAUCUGUCGUCAGUAUGUCACUCGAUCAGUACUAUAUACCAAUGCAAAUCAAUCGAUGCGAUAUUAUUCAGGAAAAGCUAGCUAAGAAUGCAAUUCACAUGUAUCCCUACUACCUGCAUGUUUCCGAUGAGAUGUGAGAAGAAGACAAGGCCCAUGAUGCAGAUGAGAAUGCAGAAGACAGUCUCCCCAUUGUAGGUUGAAAUGCGAAGACAGGCAGCAUCCGACUUGGGAGUGAGAACAAGGCAUCUUCAUUGCUCUGUGCCAGCAGCAGCAGCAGCACGUGGAACGGCCAAUCCAACAGAUAAGAUAGACCACCAGGAGCAUGAUCAUGGCCAUGAACAGAGGAAGAUGAACAGGAGGGAAGAAUUGAUGAGAUUGAAUUAUGUACUAAAAUGAUUGACAAGUUGUUUGUACAUUCCGUCAAUUUGUACAAAAAAGAAUUGAUGAGAUUGAAUUGUAUUCUGUCAUUUUAAAUGAUUUAGAUUGAA